GAGUCUAGCAUGUGCGCGAGUCAUUGGGAUGCAACUAAACCUAAAGGCGAAAUGAAAGUGAAGGUCCGCCUCGCGCGGACCGAGGGAGGAUGGGCCCGCCCUAGGGGGGCCCCGCACUCCCGGGGCGUCUCGUUCUCAUCGCGAGAGGAGGCGCACCCAGAGCGUACACGCUGGGACCCGAAAGAUGGUGAACUAUGCCUGGUCAGGACGAAGUCAGGGGAAACCCUGAUGGAGGUCCGUAGCGAUUCUGACGUGCAAAUCGAUCGUCGGAACUGGGUAUAGGGGCGAAAGACUAAUCGAACCAUCUAGUAGCUGGUUCCCUCCGAAGUUUCCCUCAGGAUAGCUGGCGCUCGCCGCGCGCGAGUCUCAUCCGGUAAAGCGAAUGAUUAGAGGCAUUGGGGUCGAAACGGCCUCAACCUAUUCUCAAACUUUAAAUGGGUGAGAUCUCCGGCUUGCUCGAACACGUGAAGCCGCGAGAUUUCGGAUCAGAGUGCCAAGUGGGCCACUUUUGGUAAGCAGAACUGGCGCUGUGGGAUGAACCAAACGCAGAGUUAAAGCGCCCAAAUCGACGCUUAUGGGAUACCAUGAAAGGCGUUGGUAACUUAAGACAGCAGGACGGUGGCCAUGGAAGUCGGA
rnacentral:rRNA from 3 species